rnacentral:rRNA from 1 species
CCUACGGGAGGCAGCAGUGAGGAAUAUUGGUCAAUGGACGAGAGUCUGAACCAGCCAAGCCGCGUGAAGGAUGACUGCCCUCUGGGUUGUAAACUUCUUUUAUAUGGGAAUAAACUGUUCCACGUGUGGGAUUUUGUAUGUACCAUAUGAAUAAGGAUCGGCUAACUCCGCGCCAGCAGACGCGGUAAUACGGGGGAUCCGAGCGUUAUCCGGAUUUAUUGGGUUUAAAGGGAGCGUAGGUGGAUUGUUAAGUCAGUUGUGAUAGUUUGCGGCUCAACCUUAGAAGUGCAGUUGAAACUGGCAGGCUUGAGUACAGUAGAGGUGGGCGGAAUUCGUGGUGUAGCGGUGAAAUGCUUAGAGAUCACGAAGAACUCCGAUUGCGAAGGCAGUUCACUGGACUGCAACUGACACUGAGGCUCGAAAGUGUGGGUAUCAAACAGGAUUAGAUACCCGAGUAGUC